GACGAACGCUGGCGGCGUGCUUAACACAUGCAAGUCGAACGGAAAGGCCCUGCUUUUGUGGGGUGCUCGAGUGGCGAACGGGUGAGUAACACGUGAGUAACCUGCCCUUGACUUUGGGAUAACUUCAGGAAACUGGGGCUAAUACCGGAUAGGAGCUCCUGCUGCAUGGUGGGGGUUGGAAAGUUUCGGCGGUUGGGGAUGGACUCGCGGCUUAUCAGCUUGUUGGUGGGGUAGUGGCUUACCAAGGCUUUGACGGGUAGCCGGCCUGAGAGGGUGACCGGCCACAUUGGGACUGAGAUACGGCCCAGACUCCUACGGGAAGCAGCAGUGGGGAAUAUUGCACAAUGGGCGGAAGCCUGAUGCAGCAACGCCGCGUGCGGGAUGAAGGCCUUCGGGUUGUAAACCGCUUUCGCCUGUGACGAAGCGUGAGUGACGGUAAUGGGUAAAGAAGCACCGGCUAACUACGUG
rnacentral:rRNA from 1 species